AAGGCUUGACCUCAAAUCAGGUAGGACUACCCGCUGAACUUAAGCAUAUCAUAG
rnacentral:rRNA from 1 species